AUGCAAGUCGAGGGGUAACAGGGAGCUUGCUUCGCUGACGACCGGCGCACGGGUGCGUAACGCGUAUAGAACCUACCUUUUACAGGGGAAUAGCCUUUAGAAAUGAAGAUUAAUGCCCCAUAGUAUUGUAGACUGGCAUCAGUUUACAAUUAAAGAUUUAUCGGUAAAAGAUGGCUAUGCGUCCUAUUAGUUAGUUGGUAAGGUAACGGCUUACCAAGACAUCGAUAGGUAGGGGUCCUGAGAGGGAGAUCCCCCCACACUGGUACUGAGACACGGACCAGACUCC
rnacentral:rRNA from 2 species